GGGAUGUGAACGCGGUGCUUCUCACGUGUUACCGGAGGGCGUCGCCGAAGUCUCACUACAGACUAGUGUGGGUGAAAGCAUGACCUGCAGGAGGUGCUGCAGGAGGAGGAGGGAUGACUGUGUUACAUGGUGUUCAGGGGCACCAGGUGGAGGUGGAGGAUGCAGGUGAACAGGUGGAAGGGAGCGCGCACGUGACGUACUGCCUGACGCCAGCGGAGGGGGCGGGGCCAUCGUCUGGCAGGGUGGAGCCAGAGCCGGAGGAGCGAGAGCGUGCCCCGUCUACCUCCGUCGUUGCACACUGCUGUAACGCCGUUGCCAUCUGGUGCGAUGCCCCUACGACCGCCGCCUACGCGCUCAUAGGCCUAUCGCGAUGCUGGUGGCAGUAUACGGUGACGUCAUCCUCAGCGGGAGACAACAUGGGUGACGCAAUGCAAGAAGGCGUGGCGGCUGAGAUAAAGGGCGGGGCCAAACCUGGGGUUACCGAGGUCGGUUGGCCUCUACCAUGCAGUCUGUCCUCUCUUCUCGCCAUGAACUGCCGGGCCCGGGCGGAGGGCCUCGCUCGCCGCCUGCAAACAAGCCUUCGCGUGGGGUCAGGAGGCUCGGUGGCCCUCGAGCAGACGUCCUUGGUGACGCCGGGCCCGGAGGACCACUAUGCGUCCAUGGAGUGCCGCCAUGCCUCGCUGGACGACCCCCAGUUGGACCCGGUGGACGACCCGAACCUCCGCCCCAUUCACGUGGUGACGUCAGAGCCCUCCCUACGUCUCUGCCUCCCGUCCCCGCCCGCAUUGCCCAACGUGGCUGAGCAGGACUCGGACGUCUAUUAUGACUUCGACCUUGCCAGCCCGGAAGACGCACCUGAGGAUGAGGAAAAGGAAUGCGAUAACGUGAUAAAAAGAUACGAGAGACCCGAGAGCGGAUGCGCAACUUCUGUCACUUCGCCUGUUAUGUUUGACGACGAGUGCGAGGACGAGGGCGAAGAGAAGCGAAAGGAUCAAGAGGAACACACUCGCUCGCCGGAGGCCAACAUGUGCACCUCGGAGGCCGAACUCCGCGUCAUGAGGCAAAUACUGACGUCCGCCUCCCUGACGGACGUCCUCUCGCCGACGGACAGGAUGGCAGAGACAGAUGCCAAAGCCAUGUGUGAUGAUUCCAGCAGAUACCAAAGUGCAAACGGCACAGAAAAGUGCGUGUGUGGGGCAUGCCGCUUCGAUGACGAGCGCGAGUGUGGGUGUUCCUCGGGGCACCUGGAGACCCAUUACAUUGUAACUCACACGUGGGGAGAGCCAGAAGAAUCGUGUGCAGAUGAGAUCCCAGAGGGCGCUGCUAUGCCUGGAGACAGUUACGUCUCGCUAUCAAUGCAAGGAACAUCGCCAGUAGCCAACACAGACCCACGUUGGUGCCACCCCGGGUCGGGCACUCUGCCGGCAGUGCCAUAUCCACCAGCUGAUCAACGCGCGGUGGACAAAACAAACAUAGGCAGUGGCGACAGUGAUGGUGCUGGAUGGGACAGAUAUGAUGCAAGGAGUGAUAUGUAUAGACACAGUGAUGCGGUAAUGAUCAAGGAUAAGGGAUGGGACAAAGGCAAGAGAGAUCAGGGCAAAGAUGUGUUGGGCGACGGGGAAGGGAACACCGUGUACUUUGCGGAGGUUACAGUGACACAGUUCAGUGGUGAAGGUGGAACCGUGUGCAGUGAUGGUGAUCUAGAACACAAAGCAGAUACUGACACUGAAGGGAAAAUAAUCCUGCAAACCGCCUCAGAAACUGCCAGUGUCCCCCAGGCUAUUUCUGGCACGACACCCCCGCUCGCCGACCCUCACCUCUACACGCCCUCUGAAGGACAGCCCGCCGUCAUGGAGUCACGAGGGGAAGCUGAGGGGAGAGACGAGUUGUUUUGUAUGGACGCUGACACGGAAGAGAUUGAGACUCUCGGGGAAGAUGAGGAGAGCGACGACGAAGAGAAUGAGGAGGACAUUGACGAGGAGGUGAUUCUCACGGGAAAGUUCCGCAACAUCCGCGGGUACACGGAACGCGUCCGACGGCUGUCAGACGACAUCGAGGACAGAAUCUCCCCCACGAGCAUCACCUACGAAGACAGCUGCUUCUGCGAGUCGCCCAAGUCCAGCAAGUCCUCGACCGCCUCGUCCGAGGUGAACGAUGGCGGCGAGGAGCUGGCCGCGCAGCUGUCACAACUUGAGGUGGAAGAUGUGGACGAUGGAGUGGGCGACGAAGAGGUGGAAGAGGAUGCCCUAGCAGGCGAGCGCUCCUCCUCGGAGGAAACGGACCCAGCUCGAGUAGAAGAUUUCAAGCUGCGGAUCAAGCGGUCCUCCUCCCUGAAGUGCGGCAAGACGCCCCCGGGCACACCUGGACGCAAGAAAAUCGUGCGCUUCGCGGACAUGCUGGGCCUUGAUUUAGCUGCCGUCAGGACUUUCCUUGCGGGCGUCCCGCACGUUCCGCGCUCCGCCUUUUGGGAUCUCGAGCUGGAGCGCGAGGCGGCGGAGGCGGCCAAGUCUUCCUUCGCGCAGAACAUCGUGCCCUCGCGCGUCCUCACGCCCCUGUUUCAGCAGCCGGGCUCACAGGCCGACUUCCUGGAGCGCGUGCGGCAGCAGCGGGUGGUCGUGGAGAACAUCGAAGUGGGCGACGACCUGAGCGUGCGGGGGGUGGUGCGCGUGCUCAGCCUCGAUUUCCACAAGAGCGUCUUCGUCAGGUACACCUUCGACCAGUGGCGCAAUUACCACGAGGCGACAGCCGCCUACGUCCCCGGCUCCUACGACGGCCUCACCGACCGCUUCUCCUUCCUGCUGUGGGGCAACUUCCUGCAAGACGACGGGGCUCUCAUUUUCUGCGUCCGCUACCACACACUCGGCCAAGAGUUCUGGGACAACAACCGCGGCCGGGAUUACGUGCUGCAGUGCUACAAGACGUCGGGGACGUCAGGAGUGCCAGGCAUGAUCGGCUCCAGCGUCCCUCAGAAUGUCAGCAGCGUCGAGGCGCACUACAGCGGCGGCAGGAACUUCAGCUCGAGGCCCACCAACUUUAGUGACGUUUACGGCACUUCUCCAACCACUCCGAGCGAUCCUUGGGCAUCCAGGUUCUUCUAGGAAGUCACACGGUGCUUCCGAAUGGUUAUUCCACCUGAAUCCUAAGCCCAGCUGACUGCACCAAGGGGAUAGCCGGGCAUUCAUUCACAAAAUGUAAAUGAACGCCAGGGAAAGUGAGACAACAUUCAGCAGGUGUCAUGGGAGUGCCUAUGUCUGGCUUAGACCAGGUUUUCGGGUCCUCGAGGUCGGCGGCUUUCGCAUUUUUUCGGAUGCGGACCGACCUGUCUACUUUCAGUCGUUCCUGUGAUCAAAAGAAAUGAUGUGCUGACUGCAAAGGGACAGAAGGCCCGCCCAGUCACCCCAUUGCUCCUCGGGGCCCGCUCACAAACCUGCCUCUGCCAGAGAUUUUCACCGGCACUACAUCGUCACUUCACCACACAGUCACGUCACCACCACACGCGACCCACCACGGAAUCAUGACUUCACCGCAAACGAACUCAGCACCACAAGUCAGGCUGACUGCUGAACAUAAUACGCUUCACAGAUCGCUCGCGUUGCACACGAACUCCCUCCUCAAAGCAAAUCCUUUACGUUAUGCUACUGAGGCGCCGCGGUCUCCGACGCCGCCCCUCUCCCCGCCGGCGGUGCGUUGCCUCCCGCGGCCUCCUGCUGCUGGCUCCUCCACCUCGGCCUUCUUCGUGACUUCGCCAUGCUGUCAGGGGCGUAGGCUGCUCCCGAGACAAGAUAUGCAUAUAUGUAAAUACAAUAGAGGGAGCAGUCUUGCUGGUACUACAGGAUUGUUAGUUAGGCAACGGCUAAGGGUUGGUGUUGAUACGUCUGCAUGAUGUUUAUAUUUAUUUAUUAUUAUUAUCAUUUUUUUCAAAACAGAUAGUCAAUUAAGAUAAUGAACAUGUUUUGGAAUAUAAUUUAAGAGUAAUGUCUUACAUGGGUUACAUUUCAUUCACUAACACACAUGCUCACACACACACACACACACACACACACACACACACACACACACACACACACACACACACACACACACACACACACACACACACACACACACA
rnacentral:misc_RNA from 1 species